GGGGUAUCUGCCCGACAACCUAGGCAGUCUCUCUGCAGACAGUGCUUUAAAAUGCUGAUUUGGUUAUGUGAUCACGAUGAUUUCACAAUCAUAUGGCCCAGAAGGCAUUGACAGCAGGGGGACAGUCCCCCCAAUCAGGAUUGCCAUGGUAGUUAAGUUCCCUGCAGGGAAUGAUCUUUAGGGUGUACUAUGCCGCCCUAACAGUGUUAAAGGAUCACUAUAG